AGAGUUUGAUCCUGGCUCAGAUUGAACGCUGGCGGUAUGCUUAACACAUGCAAGUCGAACGGUAACAGCAAGAGCUUGCUCUUGGCUGACGAGUGGCGGACGGGUGAGUAACGCGUAGGAAUCUGCCUUACAGUGGGGGAUAGCCCGGAGAAAUCCGGAUUAAUACCGCAUACGCCCUACGGGGGAAAGCUGGGGAUCUUCGGACCUGGCACUGUUAGAUGAGCCUGCGUUAGAUUAGCUUGUUGGUGGGGUAAUGGCCUACCAAGGCGACGAUCAGUAGCCGACCUGAGAGGGUGAUCGGCCACACUGGAACUGAGACACGGUCCAGACUCCUACGGGAGGCAGCAGUGGGGAAUAUUGCACAAUGGGCGCAAGCCUGAUGCAGCAACGCCGCGUGAGUGAUGAAGGCCUUAGGGUCGUAAAGCUCUGUCCUAAGGGAAGAAUAAAUGACGGUACCUUAGGAGAAGCCCCGCUAACUA
rnacentral:rRNA from 1 species